rnacentral:lncRNA from 1 species
GAAGGCGGGGACCCGGGCCCCGCGGGCCUGCAGCGCCCCCGCACCCGGUUCCACGCGCCCAGGGCCGCCCCCGCGGAGAGAGGGGGCGCGAGGGGCGCGCCUCUCGCUCGGACACCCUCUCCCAGCUCGCGCCCCAGGUAACUUAAACCCAAUUAUAAAUGGCUUUGGCUAUAAAGUGUUCUUGAAUGAAAACGUUUAGGAAGUAGGCCUGGAUUCAGAUGCUUCAGAGGCUCAAAGGUUUUCUAAUUGUUUAUGGAGAAGAUUGAUCUUCACAAGCUAGUUUUUUCAUAGGCAAAAGCAAAAGUCUCUUCCUGUGUUAUUAAGUGAAAAUGGCUGAUUAUAAAAAGGGGCUUACAAACAAUAUUUAACAAAUCUUCAUCAAGUCCCUACUCUGUGGCAGGCCCUGGGUCAGGAGGUUGCCGAUUCCAGGAAGAAUCAGACCUUAUCCCUGCCCUUGAGUCUCAAGAAGAGGAAAGGAAAACAAAUAAGCAUAGUACAGUGUGAAAAGUGGGACUGUGGUCAAAUUUCAGUCUGCAAACUCAGAAUGGAUGAAAUAUGAAAGACUGACAACAUCAAGUUGUCAAGUAGGACAGGAUGUGGAACCACUGGAACUCAUACGUGACUGAUGGGAAUGCAAAAUGAUACCGAUCCCUUGGAAAACUCCUUGGCAACUUUAAUAAACAUAAAUCUACCCUAUGAUCCAGAAAUUCCACUCUGAGUCACGUCUCCAAGAGCAAUGAAAAUAUAUACCCACAAAAGACUGCACAUAAAUCAGAACAGCAUUGUUGAUAAUAGCCCAAACUGGAAACAACCUAAAUAUUCACCAAUAGAAGCCUGAAUAAAUUCAUACUGUGGGAUACUCUACAGCAAUGAGAUCAUGAAAGAUAGUGUGGCUUCCACUUUGGUCUCUUAUAUCACCUACUGGGGGAAGCCAGCUGCCAUGUUGUGAGGACACUCAAGAAGCUCUGUGGAGAGGCUCUUUUGAAGGAGAACCAAUGCCUCCCACCAACAGCCAGCAUCAACUUGGGACAUGUGAGUGAACCAAUUGGAAGUGGAUCCUCCAGCCAAGUCAAGCCUUCAGAUGACUGAAGCCCCAGCCUCAUGAGAGAUAGCAGGCUAAAACUGCCCAGCUAAGCUGCUCCUGAAAUCCUGACCCCCCAAAUUAUAAAAGACAAUAAAUUAUUAUUGUUGUUUUAAGCCA